UACUUUCCCAUUCGGUCUUAUUUCUUUCUCCUCGUUUUUUUUUUUUUUUUUUUUAAUGGAUGUCUUUUCCCUACAUAGGCUUAGUCUGAUGCUAAGAAUCAAUCCUCCAAGGUUCACGUGACUUUGGCAUCUUUAGGCUGUUUUGAAGCUGGAGUUUGUCGAUAAGCAAAAAGUCACUUAUCAGCUUUGUAGGGAUCUAAUAAAAUCUACAUUAAGAUCUAGAUCAUCAAAAUAUUUUAACACCGGUGCACUGACUUCCCUAGUUCCCCUUCAAAGCAUAUGGUAAUAAUUUCCUUUCUGCCGUGCCCAGAAAAUGCAGAGUGGGAUGGAAUACUAUAUACUCCUUUUGUGCUUCUGCACUUGUGUCCCUUUUGAACUGACUUUGUUUUCUUCAAGUCUUGCUUAAAGAGUUUCAGGAGCAUACGCCAUAGCUGCCAUGGUACUGAGCAGCGUAAGAUCAAGUGUUUUUCUCUCUCGGAAUGUUUUUCACAUAAGUAGAAUUUUUUACAAACUGAAAAACUUCUCUUCACCAAAUUAUUUAGAGUUGAACAGGCACCAUUUUAUAGCUGUCCACCCAAAACAAGAUUAACUUGAGGCUGCCAUGGUACUGAGCAGCGUAAGAUCAAGUGUUUUUCUCUCUCGGAAUGUUUUUCACAUAAGUAGAAUUUUUUACAAACUGAAAAACUUCUCUUCACCAAAUUAUUUAGAGUUGAACAGGCACCAUUUUAUAGCUGUCCACCCAAAACAAGAUUAACUUGAGGAGGAGGACUUUGAAGUGGAAAAGGUAGACCUGUUUCAUUUAUGUGUGAGAAACUCUGCUUGCAGCUAAUAGAAGAGAUCAACCCUCUAGAGUUCUUUUUUUUCCAACUUAAUAAAGUUGCACUAUGAUGUAUGUGGUGAGUAAUAUCUACGGUAACAGUCCUUGUUACUUGAGGAAAACCAAAAUCAGUAGCAAUGUAGCAUAUCCUGCUUUCCGAUCAUCAGAAGAGAAGAUUCAGAACUGUAUUUUCAGCAAAUACAAGCUUUUUUAAACAAUAAAACUGUGGCUGUACUGGUUAUGGCCUUAAAUUUCA